UACGGAGGAUGCAAGCGUUAUCCGGAUUUAUUGGGUUUAAAGGGUGCGCAGGCGGCGCGUUAAGUCAGUGGUGAAAUGUCCCGGCUCAACCGGGGCACUGCCAUUGAUACUGGCGUGCUAGAGUACGGACGGCGCCGGCGGAAUGUGUCAUGUAGCGGUGAAAUGCUUAGAUAUGCCACAGAACACCGAUCGCGAAGGCAGCUGGCGAGGCCGGUACUGACGCUCAGGCACGAAAGCGUGGGGAUCAAAC
rnacentral:rRNA from 1 species